UACGAAGGGGGGCUAGCGUUGUUCGGAAUUACUGGGCGUAAAGCGCGCGCAGGCGGCUAUCCAAGUCAGUGGUGAAAGCCCGGAGCUUAACUCCGGAACUGCCAUUGAAACUGUUUAGCUUGAGGACGAGAGAGGUGAGUGGAAUUCCCAGUGUAGAGGUGAAAUUCGUAGAUAUUGGGAAGAACACCGGUGGCGAAGGCGGCUCACUGGCUCGUUUCUGACGCUCAGGCGCGACAGCGUGGGGGAUCAAACAGG
rnacentral:rRNA from 1 species